rnacentral:rRNA from 1 species
GGGAACCUCACCCGGCCCGGACACCGCGAGGAUUGACAGACUGAGAGCUCUUUCUCGAUUCGGUGGGUGGUGGUGCAUGGCCGUUCUUAGUUGGUGGAGCGAUCUGUCUGGUUAAUUCCGAUAACGAACGAGACCUUAACCUGCUAAAUAGUGACGCGGUUCAUCGAACCGUGGGCCACUUCUUAGAGGGACUAUCGGAUUCAAACCGAUGGAAGUGUGAGGCAAUAA